rnacentral:rRNA from 1 species
UACGUAGGGUGCAAGCGUUAAUCGGAAUUACUGGGCGUAAAGGGUGCGCAGGCGGUUUAGUAAGUCAGAUGUGAAAUCCCCGAGCUCAACUUGGGAACUGCGUUUGAAACUACUAAACUAGAAUAUGUCAGAGGGGGGUAGAAUUCCACGUGUAGCAGUGAAAUGCGUAGAGAUGUGGAGGAAUACCGAUGGCGAAGGCAGCCCCCUGGGAUAAUAUUGACGCUCAGGCACGAAAGCGUGGGGAGCGAACAGG